UAACUUUGGCACUCACAGUGCUCAAGGGACCAGAGGAGCUGGAAUGUCAACAAGUGAAUAGAAACGUGUUUCUCUCAUUGCUCAAGAUCUUUGAAAGGAUAAAGUGCAUCACAACAGAUCUGACUUCUGAAAGAAGUGGAUGUGGGGAAGGGGAAUACUUUACCUUCAGUUCCUGGGAAAGACAUCUCAUUUAAUAUCUUCAGUGCAGAAUCAUAUGACAAAUGAUGCGCCUUUUUCAUACAAGGGGAAGCCAUGAAGUUUACCAGGGAAGACAGCGGAGCUGCCUAAGUAUUUGGCUCAUUUUGUGCUUGUCUCUAAGAACUUGUGUAUCAAGUCCUCCAAAACCCAAUUUUUUACUGAUACUGGCUGAUGAUCUUGGCAUUGGAGAUGUGGGUUGUUAUGGCAAUGAUACUAUCAGGACACCUCAUAUUGAUGGUCUGGCAAAGGAAGGAGUGAGACUUACUCAGCACAUUGCUGCAGCUGCUGUCUGUACUCCCAGCAGAGCAGCCUUCCUGACUGGCAGAUACCCCAUCAGAUCAGGCAUGGCAUCCAGCACAGAACGGCGCAUUCUUUUUUGGAAUGGGUGUUCUGGUGGACUGCCACCAAAUGAAACUACUUUUGCCAGAGUACUGCAUGAGCAAGGUUAUUCUACAGCACUUGUGGGGAAGUGGCAUUUGGGUGUGAACUGCAAAUCCCACCGUGAUCACUGCCACCACCCUUUAAAUCAUGGCUUUGAAUAUUUUUAUGGCAUGCCUUUUACUCUUCUGAAUGAGUGUCAAGGCACAGAUGACCCUGAACUGGCCAAGUCUUUGCAAGAUACAUAUUUGCUUUAUACACAGAUAAUCUUCCUAGCAGUGUUUACGCUUUUGUUUGGAAAACUUACCUGCUUAUUCUCAGUAAAAUGGAAAAUAAUAGUAUGUGUUACCAUCUUUGGUCUCCUGUAUUUCCUUUCCUGGUUCUCCAGCUAUGGAUUCACCAAGUACUGGAACUGUAUUCUGAUGAGAAAUCAUGAAAUCACAGAACAACCAAUGAAUCUAGAAAAAACUACUUCUAAUAUGCUGAAGGAGGCAGUUUCAUUCAUUGAAAGAAACAAGCGCAGACCAUUUCUUCUCUUUUUUUCCUUCUUACAUGUUCACACCCCACUCAUUACCACAAAGGAGUUUCUGGGAAGAAGCAGGCAUGGCCUGUAUGGAGAUAAUGUAGAGGAAAUGGACUGGAUGGUGGGUAGGCUUCUGGAUGUUAUUGACAAAGAAGGCUUGAAGAACACCACAUUUAUUUAUUUUGCAUCUGAUCAUGGAGGAUCUGUAGAGGCUUACAGAGGAAAUGCCAGAUUGGGUGGAUGGAAUGGUAUCUAUAAAGGUGGAAAAGGAAUGGGAGGCUGGGAAGGAGGGAUCCGUGUUCCAGGAAUAGUUAGAUGGCCAGGAGUGUUGCCUGCAGGCAUAGUUAUCAGCGAACCAACAAGCAUUAUGGACAUUUUUCCAACAGUGGUUCACUUGGCUGGAGGGAUAGUGCCUCAGGACAGGGUUAUCGACGGGCGCACCUUGCUGCCAUUACUGCAGGGAACAUUGCAGCACUCCGAGCAUGAGUUCAUGUUUCACUACUGUGGUGUGGUUUUGCAUGCAGUACGGUGGCACCAGAAAGACAGAGGUACCGUAUGGAAAGCUCAUUAUGCUACUCCACUGUUCCAACCAGAAGACUCUGGAGCUUGCUUUGAAAGAGGAAUUUGCCCAUGUUUUGGAGACGGUGUAACCCAUCACGACCCUCCACUGCUGUUUGAUCUGUCACAGGAUCCAUCAGAGGAAAAUCCCCUCGCCAUGGACACCGAGCCUUUCUUUGAUUCUGUAAUGAAGAGAAUAGGAAAAGCUGUAGAAGAGCACCGUAAGACCCUGACCCCAGUCCCACAGCAGCUGUCUCCUUACAGUAAUAUGUGGAAGCCAUGGUUGCAGCCAUGCUGUGGCACAUUUCCAUUCUGUUGGUGUGACAAAGAAAGCGAGAAAGCCGAUGACACACUUUAAUACCAAAAUCAAAAUAGAGUUUAAAAAAAAAAAAAAGUAGCAAUUUUCACAUCCACAUGACUACAGUCAUAUAGAGAUGGGGGAGAAAUUACACCAGAGUAAUUGAGAGGGACAUUUGUGAUGCUUUUUGUUCAAUCUAAGCCUGUAGUUUUAAGCUGUCUUUUUUUAAGAAAUGCUCCAAACACGGUCUGCUCAUGUGAACUGCAAAUUCUAUCCCUCUAAUGGAUAGUUCUAGAUCAAAUACACAGAUAACUGAACCAAAGUGUCUUUCCUUACUGAUUUUCAACUUUACAAAAUUAUGAAUUACAAGAGAUUAAACUUGAAUUGCUGCUGUGUUGCAGGUAAUAUGCUUGUUAAGGCAACAGGUCUGUGCCCAAAAGGAUCUCUCUUCAAGGUCUUAUCCUUUUAAUGAAAAGGCUGUUGUGUGCUUUACAGCACAGUUGUGCAUUUAAUUUGGAAACACACCAAAACACAGUGGCCUCUAAGAAAUAAAAACAUUCUAGUUUAUAGCAGUAUUUUACCUCAUCUUUACAUUUACUUAUCUGCCAUGUAAGAGUUUCUGGAGAAGAGGGGAAAAAAACCCAACAAACCAACACUGAUAAAUGUGUUUUAUAAAUUAGGUAGCUAAAUUUACAAUUCCAAAUCCAGCAUUUAAGCAUCUAACUAUUCUGAAAUGCCAAACCACUGCAAUUCCAACUGACACACAGCUUCCAUGUUAAAUCAGCUCCCCUGUAGGAGCAUUGAAAAUCAUCAUCCAGCUGCCUGGACAAGAUAGUCCCAAAUUUCACAAUCCCCGAGACCAAUCUAUCUGUAAGCUGCAUGUCCCACUUCGGCAUGAAUGCUCCUGAUUUUAUGGGAGUGUUGAAAUGCCCCCAUUAAAAAUGUGCUUUGUUUUGGAAGACAGUACUUUGGUUUCAGUAGGUGUUAAAAAAUCCCCUGCACACACUAAUCACUUCAGUGUACAGGUCACAUUCUAUGAGCCAAACAAGUGUCAGCACUCUGUACAGUCAUUAGGGAAAGGUAGGGAAUUAAAAUAUCUAAUCCUCUCUUACUGCCCUCUGGUUAACUGCAUUCAUCUCUCAAUAUAUAAUCCUGACCAGGUUCUUGCAGGGGUUUUGUGUCAAAUCCAAUUUUUAGGCAGAGGUUGCUGCAUUUUCCGGCUCAAAAAAAAGAAGUAAAUUGUGUGGCGGAGACUCAGAUUCAAACCUCUAAACCUUCCUGAACACUGCGUCUUCAUUCCUACUGCUUAGCUGAAUGUCAGCAAGAUUUCAAAGGCAGCACAGAAAGUCCUGAUAACACCCAAAGCAAAGCUCUUACAAGUGGGAAGUUCAUACCAGGAGCCUUACAAGACGUAACUCAUGCGAGCUGACUGAGCCAGAGAGACAAAGAAAUCUCCUCUUUUCCAAAAGAACAACCAAGUGGAAAUGUCCUCACUAGACACUUUGAAGUAAGCAGGGACAUUACAAGAAUAACCACCUCCUUUUCCAGUAGGCUUGGAAAGUGCAUCAACCCACUCGUCUAAGAUUUUCAAGAAUUCUCCUUGUGGCUCACCCACACUAUCUCCUGUUUAUUAUACAAAGAGCACUCAAUAAUUUUGCAAAUAAAACUAUCUUUUAAGUCUUUCUGUAAAUAAUUAAGCCCAGGACAAAAGAAGAGAGAAUAAGCAUAUUUUGAUUUUAACUCAACCUGUUUACUUUAAGUCUCCCACACUAUACCACAUCAGAGUUUGGCCUUUCAAAACCCUUACAGCUGCUUCUUGGGUCAUCAGGGCCUGGACAAAUUCUUCUUUAGGAACCAGUGGCAGCGCCAGAAAGUUUGUUUUUCUUAAAUUGCUUUACCCUAGAAGUACCUGAGGCUACCCACAAUUUAAUGUGUAAGAAAUUUUGGGUGAGGUUUAGUUUGAACGUGAUUUCCAAGUCAUGUUUUGACUUUGCCAUGAUCCACAGAGUUUGUAACAUGCUGCCUGUAACGCUCUCCAAACCUGCCUGUGGCCCCACAGUUGUAAAAUGAUGUCCACAAAGAUCAAAGGAAGCUGCUCAAAGUACAGCACAUGCAAAUUCUGGAUAAACUGAAAAGUUUGUCCCUUCUCACUCUCUGGAGGCAUUACAGUGCAAGAAUCCACUAAGAUACAACAUUAUUUGUAAAUGAUUUCUUGAAUGAAGACAAUGCACAAAAACUUGGGCAAAGUUUUUAAGCACAGUUGUUUUUUUCUGGGAAACUGCAACUCAACUACUUUGGUACUUAUUCAAGAAAGAUUGUAAUGCUUCUAUUACAUAAGUCUGUAGAAUUGUAAUCUGCAUCUCCUAUUUCUCCUCAGCUGGUGGUACAAAUGUCUGACAAGCAAUUUAAUAAAAUGAAAAAAAAAAAAACCCAAACCAUUAAGGUAACCAAUCAGUCACAAAUAGCACGCCCUGGCACAAUAUAAUCUGUAACCAUGCAUCAUUCGAUGAGCACAACUUCAUAACGACCUUUCCAUUUCCACUUCUACUUUAUUUCCAUGACAUUAUUCUGCUACAUUUCUUUGCAAAACAUUGCAUAAUCCACACACGGUACCAUUCUACAUCUUAACACUUUCCAAUGCGUUCCAUAACAGCUCCUUUUACUACAGUCAUAUGUCUACUUUAAAACUUUUCAAUUAUAGAUUUCACGUUAGUAAUUUUUUCCCAUAAUCUAUAUUAAUGUAUGCAGUAAGAUCUAGUAGUUAUUGCAGAAUUACAGCUGCAUGAAACAUGAGUUCACAUGGUCACCUACUGUUGUAUACAGUUUUCAGGAACUGUUUGAAUUGUACUAGCAAUAAUUCUUAGAAAAUGGAAGACUUCCUCAGAAGUGCACAAGUUACUGCAAUAAGAAAUAAUUAACAGAUCAAAUGCCACUACGCUGCAGCUAGUAUAAUCUCCAUGUAGUGCUGCACUGGGACACUCGAAACAAAAUGCAGAAAGUGCCUGCCUUUAUACUUUCAUAUAAAGGUUCCCUGCCAACAGAAAGUAAUUUAUCAUAGGUCCUUUUAUGAUUAAUGGAGAAACUUAUAUGAGUCAUCUUCUGGACAUCUUUCUCUUCAACUUGACUUUAAACACCUAACUUCGACUAGAAGACCAACUUCAAGAGACCAACCAAAGAGAGAGACCCACAAUUCCCACCUUAGGAGUACUCAGAAUAAAUGGGAAAUAAAGAAUUUGACAAAUCUGAAAUAGCCCCAGAAGUAAAAGUAAUGACACUAUUGUUAACAGUGGGAUAUAACUCUAAAAAACUCAGAUCACUAUUCUGCCUUCGAGGGACCUUCUGACUCUUUUGCUCCUUUCCUAAUUUGUGCAAGUUAUUUCUCUUCUUUUCAACCUUUUUUUGAUGGAGAAAGAAAAAAAGUUCUCUCUCCUACCCCACCUUUUUCUUCAUUAACAUUUACAACAAUACAUAUUUGGAUUAAUUUUUUCACCCAGAGGAUGGUGACACACUGGAACAGGUCAAGGAGGCUGUGGAUGCCCCAUCUCUGGAGGCAUUGAAGGCCAGGCUGGAUGUGGCUCUGGGCAGCCUGGUCUGGUGGUUGGCGACCCUGCACAUAGCAGCGGGGCUGAAACUGGGUGAUCAUUGCGGUCCUUUUCAACCCAGGCCAUUCUGUGAUUCUGUGAUGCUUAACAUUACACGACUGGCUGUUGAACAGAAUUCCCAAGUUAUUUCAUUUGAUUAUCUGUACCAAAAUUGGUGACAAAUCAAGGCUGGAAUACACUUCAGAUCCUAGAUCAGCACUGCAGAAUUCUCUUUUGAAGACUUAGCAGCAUUAUGCAUAACUGUAUCAAAUCUGUUACCACAUUAGCAUGUCUAUCAAGCUUCUUUCUUUCAAAGUGUUUCUUUCUUGUUUGUCAAAAAAAAAAAAGCUGCCAAGACCACUCGUAUUUGAAGACUCAAAAUUCAUAAAGCAAUCCUUCUAAGUACACUUAAUAUAAGGGAGUCUCACCAAUAGAUUUAUCUGAAACUACACUCUGAUUUUUUAGUUCCCACACACAGCUAUUGUUUAAAAGAUCUUCAAAGAGCCUGUUUACUAAAACAAGGACUAACUAUGUCAGUUGCACUCAAACUGGAGCAACCAUAUUAAAUGAGAAGAAUGCCUUUGUCAACUGCAGUCAGAGUACUGUAAACAGUAUAAAGCACCAGAAAAGUUUACACCAUAGUGUCAGUCAGCAUUUCUUUCUCUAACUAUGCAACGCUGAAUACGGAAGUAAAAACUAACAUAUAUUUAAAAAAAAAAAACAAA